GGCAGUGUAUUACACCCUAGAAGAUGAACACAGAUGGCCUUGGUUGUGACACUUCAUGGAAAUAAGAUGCAAAAAGUAUUCCAGGGCAUGAAGUCUUCCCAUAUUUUCAGUGAAGUCUUUUUUGGCAAGAAAAGCUGAUUCUUCAGUCCUGGGAUGCAGUGUGUUGUCUGUCACUGAGGUUUUGUCCUCAUGCUGUUUGGACUUCCUGGCCAAAGGACAAGAGAUGAGAGGAGUGUGAGUGGAAGGGCACUGCAGGAGCCAGCUCAGUGUCAGGAGCUUGUGGAGGCAGGAAUCUGGAAUUUUGGAAUUCUGGAAUUCUGUACAGUUUGGAUCAGCCAGACCUGCCUUGUGUCCUAAACCUCUCCAGCCCAGAGGUUCACCUUGCAUUGGCUCCUCUGAGGUGUUUUCCUUCUCAAGAAGCUACCACGGCAGCCAGGCUGAGAGAGUGCACUGCAGUGGCAAGAGCUUCCAAAGGCAUCAGCAAAGGUAUCCCAUGCUCUUGGCAGAUCAAUACUGGCCUUAUAAAUCAGUUUGCUUUGGUAAUAGGUUGACUCUUUUGGGAAUCUUUCAGGAUUGGCUUCAAGCUCAUGAGUUAUUUUGCCAGUUCAGCAAAUGCCUUAAUUUAGAAAUGGCAGCUUUUCAUACUGACUCUGUGUUUAGCCUAAAAACAUAAAUUUAUUUGUUCCUUAGCCAAUUUCUUGAAAUACUGAAGUGCCCUACACCUGCUGUGGGUCAUAUCAGCAAGGGAUUUUCCGUUUUCCAUUCCAGUCUUUUGCUGGUGGAAUAUUAUUUCUACUGGAGAACCUGGAUUGAUUUUGUAGUUCAGAGGACUUUUAUAAUCUCUCCUGAGUUUAAGUUCAUUUCUGAGAAAUCUCAUGGCCCUGAAGGAAGGAACAUCAAUGUUGCUCUGAGCAUUUCCCUUCUGGGAAGGGGGUGACUUGUUUUGAGUGAUUAUAUUUUUUGGGAAAGGAGUUCUCCCUUCAUUUUCUGGGACCAUUUGAUAACUCAGAAAAUAAACAUUAAUUUAAAGUUUGGCA
rnacentral:lncRNA from 1 species